GGCCUGUUGGUCUAGGGGUAUGAUUCUCGCUUUGGGUGCGAGAGGUCCCGGGUUCGAAUCCCGGACAGGCCC
rfam:Branchiostoma floridae genomic scaffold BRAFLscaffold_118, whole genome shotgun sequence.